ACAAAGAUAAAUAACACAAACAUCUCAAAAUAUCUGAAAGAUAAUCAAUUUUGGCAAACAAAAGAUCACAACCUAAAUUCCAUGUAGCGCCGCCUCGAAGAAUCACCAAAUGGAGUGUAUGUAUCAUUAUCGACCCAACCUCUAGUAGAGUGAUAAUUCUUCAUUAUAUACAUUUUUUUUAUUGUUUAGUCUUUGAUUAUCAUAUUUAUAUUUAAGCAUUAGUUAGUUUUAAGAGUUAUUUGAUAUAGUUUGAUAAUUUUAGUUCUUGAAUUUAAUGACAUGUUUAUUAUUUUAUUUUUUAGAUUAAGUAGAUAUUUUUUUAUAGUUUUAUUUUGUUUCAUUGUUUUAGUGCAAUGUUGAAUUUUUGUGAGAAUUUGACAUGAUUUAUGUGGGUGUUUUAAUCAUAUAUGAAGUUGUAGAUGUCCAAAUAGAGUCAAAUUAGUUUCAAAUGAUAGCUAAGAUCCAUAGAUACAACUUUAAUGCAGACACUUGAACCAAAUUAAUAAUCAAAAUAAGGGAAAAAUGUAGUAGAAGCUAGACCCCGCAAAAUUGUUGUGCGCGGGAGCACAAUUGCCUGUGCCUAAGACACACUUUGUUUUUAAAUAAUUUUUUUGUCCUGCGAGGCCUGGAGCGUCUCUAGUGUCUGCUGGAGCACAUAACGUGUUGUUGAAUGAAUAAAAUUGCAAUUUUAUCACUUUUUGGAGAUUUUUUUUUUUUUUUUCUGGUUUGGAGACUAGAGACUUGUGUCGUAUCAUAGGCAACUUAGAGGAGAAUGAUUCUAACACCAUCGAAGGAGUAUUCUCAAGAAUUAUUCAUGAAUAGUUAUUGUAAUCUUUCUUUAAUCUCUAUUUUUUGUUCCUUUGUCAUGAGUAACUAAACUCGUGGUGUUAAGGAUGAGUAUAAUUUGAUGAAAUCUCUUGACGCGUGAUUUGAUAUUUGGUUUAUUGAAUUGUUUUUCUUAUUUUUGUGUUCAUUGCUAUUUAUCGAUUAAUCACCUUUAAAUUGAUUUACAAUUUGUAUUUUAAAAUGAAAAGUGUACUUUAUGAAUGUUUGAGAUAAGAAAUUCAUGAUUUUGCACACGAGGAAUGAACAUAGACACAUAAAACCAAUUGGG
rnacentral:lncRNA from 1 species